CUGCUCUGCUCCAGGAUGCCACUCCUUCUACCAGGAGCCAAUCCUCCACCCUUGCUGGUCCAGGAGAGACUAGUUUCUCUCCUGUGCUGCAGCCUUUAUAUAGGGCUCAGCCUGGCCUGAUUGGCUGCCCACAGGCCCUUUCUGAUUGGCUGCCCAUCUGCGCAGCCUCUCUGGCCUACUUUAACCCAUUUUCUCCUGGAGUGGGGCAGC